rnacentral:rRNA from 1 species
ACUCAAAGGAGACUGCCAGUGAUAAACUGGAGGAAGGUGGGGAUGACGUCAAGUCAUCAUGGCCCUUACGAGUAGGGCUACACACGUGCUACAAUGGCGCAUACAAAGAGAAGCGACCUCGCGAGAGCAAGCGGACCUCAUAAAGUGCGUCGUAGUCCGGAUUGGAGUCUGCAACUCGACUCCAUGAAGUCGGAAUCGCUAGUAAUCGUGGAUCAGAAUGCCACGGUGAAUACGUUCCCGGGCCUUGUACACACCGCCCGUCACACCAUGGGAGUGGGUUGCAAAAGAAGUAGGUAGCUUAACCUUCGGGAGGGCGCUUACCACUUUGUGAUUCAUGACUGGGGUGAAGUCGUAACAAGGUAACCGUAGGGGAACCUGCGGUUGGAUCACCUCCUU